rnacentral:rRNA from 1 species
AGCGAACGCUGGCGGCAGGCUUAACACAUGCAAGUCGAGCGGGCACCUUUCGGGGUGUCAGCGGCGGACGGGUGAGUACCGCGUGGGAACGUGCCCUCUGGUUCGGAAUAACUCAGGGAAACUUGAGCUAAUACCGGAUACGCCCUUUUGGGGAAAGGCUUGCUGCCGGAGGAUCGGCCCGCGUCUGAUUAGCUCGUUGGUGAGGUAACGGCUCACCAAGGCUACGAUCAGUAGCUGGUCUGAGAGGAUGAUCAGCCACACUGGGACUGAGACACGGCCCAGACUAUUACGGGAGGGAGCAGUGGGGAAUAUUGGAAAAUGGGGGCAAGGCUGAUCCAGCCAUGCCGCGUGAGUGAUGAAGGCCUUAGGGUUGUAAAGCUCUUUUAUCCGGGACGAUAAUGACGGUACCGGAGGAAGAAGCCCCGGCUAACUUCGUG